ACGGCUCAGUAACACGUGGUCAAUCUACCCUAUGGUGGAGGAUAUCCCCGGGAAACUGGGACUAAUACUCCAUAGAUUAGGUGCAUUGGAAUUAUCACUUAAUUUAAAGAUCCGUCGCCAUAGGAUGAGACUGCGUCCGAUUAGGUUGUUGUUGGGGUAUGUGCCCACCAAGCCUAUAAUCGGUACGGGUUGUGGGAGCAAGAGCCCGGAGAUGGACUCUGAGACACGAGUCCAGGCCCUACGGGGCGCAGCAGGCGCGAAACCUUUACCAUGCGGGCAACCGUGAUAAGGAAACCCCGAGUGGAUGAACAGUCAUCCUGUCCACCAGUUUAAAACGCUGGUGAAGAAAGGGCCGGGCAAGACCGGUGCCAGCCGCCGCGGUAAUACCGGCGGGUCGAGUGGUGGCCACUAUUACUGGGCUUAAAGGGUCCGUAGCUUGCAUGAUAAGCCUCUUGAGAAAUCCACUGGCUUAACCAAUGGUCGUUCAGGAGGUACUGUCAUGCUAGGGACCGGGAGAGGUAAGGGGUACUGCCGGGGUAGGAGUGAAAUCCUGUAAUCCUGGUGGGACCACCGGUGGCGAAGGCGCCUUACCAGAACGGCUCCGACAGUGAGGGACGAAAGCUGGGGGAGCGAACCGGAUUAGAUACCCGGGUAGUCCCAGCCGUAAACGAUGCGCGUUAGGUGUGUCAGUGACCACGCGUCACUGAGGUGCCGAAGGGAAACCGUGAAACGCGCCGCCUGGGAAGUACGGUCGCAAGGCUGAAACUUAAAGGAAUUGGCGGGGGAG
rnacentral:rRNA from 1 species